rnacentral:rRNA from 1 species
CGCGGCCUAUCAGCUUGUUGGCGGGGUAACGGCCCACCAAGGCAUCGACGGGUAGCUGGUCUGAGAGGACGAUCAGCCACACUGGGACUGAGACACGGCCCAGACUCCUACGGGAGGCAGCAGUGGGGAAUCUUGCGCAAUGGGCGAAAGCCUGACGCAGCAACGCCGCGUGCGGGAUGACGGCCUUCGGGUUGUAAACCGCUUUCAGCAGGGACGAAAUUGACGGUACCUGCAGAAGAAGCCCCGGCCAACUACGUGCCAGCAGCCGCGGUAACACGUAGGGGGCGAGCGUUGUCCGGAUUUAUUGGGCGUAAAGAGCUCGUAGGCGGCCCGGUAAGUCGGGUGUGAAACCUCCAGGCUCAACCUGGAGACGCCACCUGAUACUGCUGUGGCUAGAGUCCGGUAGGGGAGCGUGGAACUCCUGGUGUAGCGGUGAAAUGCGCAGAUAUCAGGAAGAACACCAGCGGCGAAGGCGGCGCUCUGGGCCGGAACUGACGCUGAGGAGCGAAAGCGUGGGUAGCAAACAGGAUUAGAUACCCUGGUAGUCCACGCCGUAAACGUUGGGCACUAGGUGUGGGUCUCAACCAACGAGAUCCGUGCCGCAGCUAACGCAUUAAGUGCCCCGCCUGGGGAGUACGG